GCUAAAGACCCCACUGAAUUCUGUACUGCCUUUCAUUAAAUCAUUGUGUCUUUAAAAAAAAAUAAUCGAUUGUAUCGUGUUUUGUAUACAGUAUAAGCAUUAUAUUUUGUUACUGGCCAUUUUUUAUCUCCCAAUUCGGCGCCACGUUGUCUGGUGAGGAUGGUAAGAGGGGGGUGGGUGGCAUGAUGCAGCGGAUUCCCUCAAUCUGCCAUUUCGUUUCCGGCACCUCGUGGUAGAUCAUCUCUUGCUUUCCUCGUUAGUCCCUUCACAAAAAAUGCAGAUUGAUCCUAUCUCUAAGUUAGGCAGAGAUUUGAAAUUCUCGAUCUCAACCAGAAAUAGAACUAGGUACUUCGGACCUGAACUCAAUUCAUACGUAAUCCCGGAGAGGAACUCGGAGGUAUUCGUAGGCCGCCUACCUUCCAAGACAUUUGAGGAUAAGAUAUAUCCUUUUUUCGCUAAAGCCGGACAGAUCUAUAGGAUCAAGUUGCUGCUGAAGAUGGACGGAGGCAAUAAAGGAUACUGCUUCGUGAAGUACACGACAGAAGCAGAAGCCUCCAAUGCCGUGGCCACAUUGAAUGGAGUGGAGUUCCCCGGAGCCCCCCACGGUCUGUACAUCACUCGCAGCACCGACCACCGUACCCUCAUGGUCACCGGGGCAGAGGUCUCGCUGGAGAAAGUUUGCCAGGAUAUACAGAUGCGAGUGGAUGGACACUUCAACGCGACUACGGUCGUUGGAAAUUCUGCUGUGUACCUUCUGGAGUUUCAAGAGCACUUUCAGGCCAUCCUUGUUAUAAGAAUGUUCGGGCCCCGAACCGCAAGUUACUGGGGUCCCAUGGCUGUGUUGGACUGGCAACCUAACGAACAAGUUCAACAGAGAGAACUGGAGAAAAGGAUGCAGUCACUGUCAAUAUUUCCUGCGAUUGAUGAAUUAAACAUUACCAUCCCCGAUAGUAUGUCAAUGGGAGCAGCAGAUUCAGACUCUGGUUUAGGAAGCGCUUCGAGCACUGGUUCUUUGCAACUCCAAACUCAUUCCGCCCCUCUCAGGUUCGAGCCACUCCCUGGACAUACUAACAAUAACUUCACUAUCUAUGAGCCAACUAAUGGUUCUUUACAACUCCAAACUCAUUCUGCCCCUCUCAGCUUCGAGCCACUCACUGGACAUACUGACAAUAACUUCACCAUCUAUGAGCCAACUAAUGGUUCUUUACAACUCCAGACUCAUUCAGUUCCUCCUGGGUUCGAGCCACUCUCUGGACAUCCUAACAAUAACUUGGUCACCAAUAAGACAACUAAUGAUGGUAUACAUAUUGUCUGCACCAAGUUUUCGGAUUGCUCUUGGCUUUGUAAAUCUGAGAUUACUGAUGGGCAAUGUCCUAUGAAAAAGAUUCUAGAAACAUACCCAAAGAUCGUCAAACUAAACAACAACGUAGUCAAUGCCUGUUCUACAAUGGAGUACAAGGUCCUCUCCGCUUGUACCGGUCUGUACUUAGCAUACUAUCGUGGGGAUAGUAAGCAAGUGGCAAUUACAGAUGAAACUGCACCAAAAGAUACCCAGUGCUCCAUGAAGUCAUCAAGGACCAAUAACACUGACACUUUCAAAGAGCGUGAUUAUGAUGAAACUGCACCAAAAGAUACCCAGUGCUCCAUAAAGUCAUCAAGGACCAAUAACACUGACACUUUCAAAGAGCGUGAUUAUGAUGAAACUGCACCAAAAAAUACCCAGUGCUCCAUGAAGUCAUCAAGGACCAAUAACACUGACACUUUCAAAGAGCGUGAUUAUGAGUGGCUGUAUAAAUGUGGGCUGGAAAUGGAUCUCAAUUGUGGUUAUGUUCCUAUUACCGUUUUCAGAAAUACGUGUUUCCAAGUCUACAGACAAAUGGUUCUUUCGGAUAAUCCUGAGGAUAGAAGUAAUGCAGCUGUAAUCCAUACUUUACUGAAGAAGGCAUUGAUCUCUGAAUUAGAAUUAUUUCAACGAAAUGAAGAGUACAUCAUGAAAAUGGCUACACCUCCAUGUGUUCAUGUCAUUGAUGACUGUUCUUUUAAAUUAAUCAUUCAAAAAGAAUACAAGAAAUUGUCUUUAUUGACCGAUGCUGCAAAUAUGAAAAGAGCAAACAUCAUCUUUAAGUUUUGGAAGAAAAUUAUGGAGUUAACAAAGACAUAAAAAACUUAUCUCAUCAGAAGGGCCUGUCACUGCACCAUUAGAGUGUGGCAAUGAUACCUAGAAGGAAAACCGCUGUAUCAACGCUAAAGACUGUCAUAAAUGGAGAGCCCUUUAAGAUGUAACCAGAAAAAUGGUACUUGUGUUUCUUCACUUUUCUGUCAUGUUCCUUUUCUGAUAUUGAUUGCUCAAUCGUAUGCAUUUUUAACUUUAUAUUAUUAUACUAUUAUUAACACAUAGAAUUAAUCUUGAUGAAGCGCAACAUUUGUUUUACUCAAUUAGAAUUCUGAAAUAAGCACAUGUAAUAUUAAGUGAGUAACUAAUUAUCAUUUAAAUAAUUUGAACGAUUAUAACUUAUAAUAUUAAACAAUCUUUUAAAAUACUUAUUUGAUUACAUACAAUUAAUUAUGAUGAUGAUAAUAAUUAGUCACUUGUUUAACCAAAUACAGAUGUGCGUGCUCUCUCUCUCCCUAAUUAUAAUUUAUAUUUUAUCCUCUUUUUUCAUAAACAGUCACAAGAUACAUUCUUUCCCACAGUUUUUCCAUCUGUAUAUUUUGUUAUGUACUGUUAUCUGCAAUAUAAUUCUGCGUAUAUACAUGUUGUGUUAUCAACUUUAAUUUGAUUUUAAUUAAUUAUUUUAUAUUCUUAAAUUAUAUUGAUUUUGAUCUCUAGAGUGUGUAUUACAUAUUUGAUCUACUUUAUUUUAUGUAUAUGUUGUAUGUUUUUACUUGUUUCUUAUUGUAAUUUUUAGGAGUAAUUGUAAAUUGUAAGUAAGCAUAAAUUAGCUUAAUGUAAGUUGAUAUUGUGCAAUGUACUGAAACAUGAUGUUCCUUUAUUAUAAUUAUUUCUACUAUUUGUACUGUAAACAACUUUCAGUACUUCAAGUUUGUACUGAAUUUUUCAAAAUAAACUUUUAUACAUUUUGUA